AGUUGUUUAAAGAUAAAAUUAUUAAAGUAAGUUUUCCAGCGUAAUCCCUGACAAGUUUCUCUCUGCAAUACCUCUUAAUUCUCUAUCCUAAAAUUACACCUAUGUUCAGUGCACCUUAAUUUUAAUUUUUUAUAAGGGGCAUAAUAUGUCUAACAAAGCAACUGGUACAGUUAAGUGGUUCAACGAAGCUAAAGGUUUCGGUUUUAUUUCGCAAGAGAGUGGUGAUGACCUUUUCGUUCAUUUCCGCAGCAUCUUAGGUGAUGGCUUCAAAAAACUUGUUGAAGGUGAAAAAGUUUCUUUCACUGUUGGUCAUGGACCAAAAGGUUUACAAGCUGAAAAUGUAACGGCUCUCUAGUCUUACAGUAAAUAUUUUACUUCCUUGUCGCUUAUGCGAUAAGGAAGUCG
rnacentral:sRNA from 1 species